rnacentral:rRNA from 1 species
ACGGAAGGCAGCAGUGGGGAAUAUUGCACAAUGGGCGCAAGCCUGAUGCGGCGAUGCCGCGUGAGGGAAGAAGGUUUUCGGAUUGUAAACCUCUGUCAACAGGGACGAAAAUGACGGUACCUGUGAAGGAAGCUCCGGCUAACUACGUGCCAGCAGCCGCGGUAAUACGUAGGGAGCAAGCGUUAUCCGGAUUUACUGGGUGUAAAGGGAGCGCAGGCGGUUUAGCAAGUCUGAUGUGAAAGCCCGGGGCUCAACCCCGGAACUGCAUUGGAAACUGUUAAACUAGAGUGUCGGAGGGGUAAGCGGAAUUCCUAGUGUAGCGGUGAAAUGCGUAGAUAUUAGGAGGAACACCAGUGGCGAAGGCGGCUUACUGGACGAUAACUGACGCUGAGGCUCGAAAGCGUGGGGAGCAAACAGGAUUAGAUACCCUGGUA